AUUGAACGCUGGCGGCAUGCCUUACACAUGCAAGUCGAACGGCAGCACGGGAGCAAUCCUGGUGGCGAGUGGCGAACGGGUGAGUAAUGUAUCGGAACGUGCCCAGUCGUGGGGGAUAACGCAGCGAAAGCUGUGCUAAUACCGCAUACGAUCUAUGAAUGAAAGCGGGGGAUCGCAAGACCUCGCGCGAUUGGAGUGGCCGAUAUCAGAUUAGCUAGUUGGUGGGGUAAAGGCUCACCAAGGCGACGAUCUGUAGCUGGUCUGAGAGGACGACCAGCCACACUGGAACUGAGACACGGUCCAGACUCCUACGGGAGGCAGCAGUGGGGAAUUUUGGACAAUGGGCGCAAGCCUGAUCCAGCAAUGCCGCGUGCAGGAUGAAGGCCUUCGGGUUGUAAACUGCUUUUGUACGGAGCGAAAAGGCUCUCUCUAAUACAGGGGGCUCAUGACGGUACCGUAAGAAUAAGCACCGGCUAACUACGUGCCAGCCGCCGCUGUAA
rnacentral:rRNA from 1 species